CCUGCAUUCUAGUCAUGUCCUGCCUAAUCACCUCUACCCAAUGCUUCUUAGGCCUCCCUCUGUCCGCCGACCGCCAACAAUCUCCAGCCGCUCACAGCUCCUCACCGGGGCAUUGGGACCCCUCCUCCGAACAUGCCCGAAACACCUCAGCCUCGCUUCUCGCAUCUUCUCAUCCACCGGGGCUACCUACCUUCUCUCGAAUAACUUCAUUCUUAAUCUUAUCUAACCUGGUGUUCCCUCACAUCCACCUAAACAUCCUCAUCUCCGCAACCUUCAUUCUCUGAACAUGAAAGUUCUUCACGGGCCAGCACUCCGC
rnacentral:lncRNA from 1 species